rnacentral:rRNA from 1 species
GUCGCAAGGCUGAAACUUAAAGGAAUUGACGGAAGGGCACCGCCAGGAGUGGAGCCUGCGGCUUAAUUUGACUCAACACGGGAAAUCUCACCAGGCCCGGACACUGGCAGGAUUGACAGAUUGAGAGCUCUUUCUCGAUUCGGUGGGUGGUGGUGCAUGGCCGUUCUUAGUUGGUGGAGUGAUUUAUCUGGUUAAUUCCGUUAACGAACGAGAC